GGUUCCAUAGUGUAGUGGUUAUCACAUCUGCUUUACACGCAGAAGGUCCUGGGUCCUGGGUUCGAGCCCCAGUGGAACCA